rnacentral:rRNA from 1 species
ACCCGCUGAAUUUAAGCAUAUCAAUAAGCGGAGGAAAAGAAACCAACAGGGAUUGCCUUAGUAACGGCGAGUGAAGCGGCAAAAGCUCAAAUUUGAAAUCGGCCCCCAGGUCGAGUUGUAAUUUGUAGAUUGUAUCUUGAGAGCGGAUUAAAGUCUGUUGGAACACAGCGCCUUAGAGGGUGACAGCCCCGUAAAAUCUAUUCUCAUUGUAAGAUACUUUCGAAGAGUCGAGUUGUUUGGGAAUGCAGCUCUAAGUGGGAGGUAAAUUCCUUCUAAAGCUAAAUAUUGACGAGAGACCGAUAGCGAACAAGUACUGUGAAGGAAAGAUGAAAAGCACUUUGAAAAGAGAGUGAAAAAGUACGUGAAAUUGUUAAAAGGGAAGGGUAUUGAAUCAGACUUGGUGCUGUUGUUCAACUGUGUUUCGGCACAGUGUACUCAGCAGUACUAGGCCAAGGUGGGGUGUUUGGGAGUGAAAAAGAAGUUGGAACGUAACUCUUCGGAGUGUUAUAGCCUACUUUCAUAGCUCCUCAGGCGCCUCAGGACUGCGCUUCGGCAAGGACCUUGGCAUAAUGAUUCUAUACCGCCCGUCUUGAAACACGGACCAAGGAG